rnacentral:rRNA from 1 species
AGUGAACGCUGGCGGUAGGCCUAACACAUGCAAGUCGAACGGCAGCACAGUAAGAGCUUGCUCUUACGGGUGGCGAGUGGCGGAAGGGUGAGGAAUACAUCGGAAUCUACUUUUUCGUGGGGGAUAACGUAGGGAAACUUACGCUAAUAACGCAUACGACCUACGGGUGAAAGCAGGGGAUCUUCGGACCUUGCGCGAGUGAAUGAGCCGAUGUCGGAUUAGCUAGGUGGCGGGGUAAAGGCCCACCAAGGCUACGAUCCGUAGCUGGUCUGCGAGGAUGAUCAGCCACACUGGUACUGGGGCACGGUCCAGCCUCCUGCGGGUGGCACCCGUGGCGAAUAUUGGACGAUGGGCGCAGGCCUGAUCCUGCCAUACCGCGUGGGUGAAGAAGGCCUUCGUGUUGUAAAGCCCUUUUGUUGGUAAAGAAAAGCAGCAGGUUAUUCCCCCGCUGUUCUUGCGGUACCCAAAGAAUAAGCCCCGGCUAACUUCGUG